UUUUUCCUGCGUGGUGCGUGAUAUUGUGAUAUUUGAACCUACACACAUUGCAAGGGAGUCCGGAUAAACUUCUGUUGUCGGGAUGCAGGCCUCCCGCCGAGGGCGCUUGCCUUAAAUGGUGACCCCCUCUAAAGCGGACGUUGGAAGCGCAAUGAAACAGAGAGGACACCCACCUGGUCAGACCGGGUUAAAGCUUACUUUACACGGCCUCGCGGGUUCACA
rnacentral:other from 1 species